rnacentral:rRNA from 1 species
GGUUGUAAACUGCUUUUUUACRGGAASAAACACCUCUMCKUGUAGAGGCUUGACGGUWCCGUACGAAUAARGACCGGCUAACUCCKUGCCAGCAGCCGCGGUAAUACGGAGGGUCCGAGCGUUAUCCGGAAUCAUUGGGUUUAAAGGGUCCGUASGCSGGCAACUAAKUCRKUGGUGAAAUUCUGCAGCUCARCUGUAGAACUGCCAUUGAUACUGGUUGUCUUGAAUCGUUGUGAAGUGGCUAGAAUAUGUAGUGUAGCGGUGAAAUGCUUAGAUAUUACAUAGAAUACCGAUUGCGAAGGCAGGUCACUAACAACGUAUUGACGCUGAUGGACGAAAGCGUGGGGAGCGAACAGGAUUAGAUACCCUGGUAGUCCACGCCGUAAACGAUGGAUACUAGCUGUCCGGUGCACAUUGGUGUGCUGGGUGGCCAAGCGAAAGUGAUAAGUAUCCCACCUGGGGAGUACGUUCGCAAGAAUGAAACUCAAAGGAAUUGACGGGGGCCCGCACMAGCGGWGGAGCAUGUGGUUUAAUUMGCUGAUACGCGAGGAACCUUACCAGGGSUUAAAUGUAGUYUGACMGGCGUGGAAACMUGCUUUUMUUYGGACAGAUUACAAGGUGGUGCAUGGUUGUYGUCAGCUCGUGCCGUGAGGUGUCAGGUUAAGUCCUAUAACGAGCGCAACCCCUGUUGUUAGUUGCCAGCGAGUCAUGUYGGGAACUYUAACAAGAUWGCCAGUGCGAASUGUGAGGAAGGUGGGGAUGACGUCAAAUCAUCACGGCCCGUACGUCCUGGGCCACACACGUGGUACAAUGGCAGGUACAAUGGGCAG